AUGACCACACAGGUCCACGAGGAGACGUGUGAACACGUGGAAGAAAUCACGGAUCAACAACAGACGGCGGCACCAACCGGAGUAAAACGAUAUGAGCCGCUGGACUUUGGCCUCGCUCCAGUGGCAGCGGGGGUCGGUGCUCCGCUUGCCGCCGGCCUGAACCGAACCGGGGGGGCGAAGGGGCCAGGGGCUGGUACCGGGUUGGGCGUCCUGCUGGGGAGAGGACGGGGGGGCGCCGGACGUGGCGCCGGCCGCUGGGUCCGCUUGCUUGAGGUCACCCGGAGACGCGAGGAGGAAGUCUUGGUAGGCGGCGCCGCCGUUGGCUUCGAUGCCGCCGGGGUCCCCGAACUUGAUCUGGGCGGAGGGGGGCGGGUGGUUUUUGAGAUCCAGGGCCUGGUCUACCCGGGGCGGCGGUACCUUCACGUCGUCUGGGCCCUCGUCUUCGUCGCAGGACUCGCAGAGGAAGAGCAGCUGCUGGUAGUGUUUCCAUUUGGACAGGUGGAGCUUGUCGGCCCCCCUGCUGGCCUGCACCGCCUUGAACUCCCGGUUGAAAAUGGUCCGGAGGUUCUUAAACUUGAACUUCACGUCUUCAACUGCAAAAGAGCGAAAGAGGAGUCACAUCUCCAGUCCCGGUUCAUUUUCUGCAUAAACACUCAACCCGUACUUGAGAACGGCGCCGAGUCGUCGGACAGCCGGCUCCUCACAGCCUCCAGCAGCCGCAGCCGCAGCAGGCGGUUGCUGUGGUUUUCGGACCUCUUCUUCCAGAGGCAGUGGUGCUCUGUGACACAAAAACAACACAACGGCAGCCUGUCAGCCAGGAUCCGAGCCCCGGUGGGGGUUUGGAUCAACAAGCGAUGUUGGGAAUCGGUCUGGGUGGGUUGGCGUUACCAGAGUAGAAAGCGAUCAGUGCGCGCUCUCUCUCCUCAGUCCACAAGCACUUCCCCGGCGCGCUGGGGGGCACGCAGGAGGCCGAGGAGCAGGUGGGCACGUCGGGGAGGCGGGGGUCGAUCAGCGGAAGGGAGGAGCCGGCGGUCCGGCCCUCCUUCCGCGGCGAGGUCGGCCGUUCUUCCGGGCCGCCGUCCGGGUCCCAGCAGCCCUGCAGGAACAUCAGCUGCUCGUAGUGCUUCCACUGCGGCGCGAAGGCGUCGUCGGACCGGCCCGCCUCGCUGGCCUUCACCAUUUUGUACUGCCGCUGAAAGGUGGUGCGCAGGUUCUUGA
ensembl:lncRNA